GUGUUGGGUCAGUGUUGGGUCAGUGUAGGGUUAGUGUUGGGUUAGUGUUGGGUCAGUGUUGGGUCAGUGUUGGGUCAGUGUUGGGUCAGUGUAGGGUCAGUGUUGGGUCAGUGUUGGGUUAGUGUGUGGUUAGUGUUGGGUCAGUGUUGGGUUAGUGUUGGGUCAGUGUAGGGUCAGUGUAGGGUCAGUGUUGGGUCAGUGUUGGGUUAGUGUUGGGUCAGUGUAGGGUCAGUGUUGGGUCAGUGUUGGGUCAGUGUUGGGUCAGUGUUGGGUCAGUGUUGGGUCAGUGUUGGGUUAGUGUUGGGUCAGUGUUGGGUCAGUGUAGGGUCAGUGUUGGGUCAGUGCUGGGUUAGUGCUGGGUUAGUGCUGGGUUAGUGCUGGGUUAGUGCUGGGUUAGUGUGUAGUUAGUGUUGGGUUAGUGUUGGGUCAGUGUUGGGUCAGUGUGG
ensembl:lncRNA